CCUUCUAUUUUUGUUUUAGGUCCAACUAGGGGGAGAAAGCAGAAGGGAGGGGCUUCCUAGCUUUGCCCCUUUCUGUAUCCUGCUGGCAGCUGUGGCAGGGAUUGAGUGUGAGGAGGCGUGGGGACAUGAAUGAGCUUCCCCACUGCAGCAUUUGCCUUGAGUGGAGGAUGGGGUAAACUUCCCAGUGUAGCCCAGAAAAAAAUCUAGCUCACAAUGGCUAAAGAAUGUUGACUUAACAGCCAUAUAGGCACCUGCAGACACAGGUUGUAUGACUGGAGUGCAUCUGUUGAACGCUGUUGCAGUCAUAUCACAGGCGAAAUAGGACUUACUGGGCUAGCCUGGCCCUGGUCACUGUGAGUGCAUCAUUUUAGAACAUCAUUAUCUUGGUAAAAAGGAAAGACCACAUUCUAAGUUCCAAACAGCUGACUCAUGAGCGGACUUUUGGAAGCCACCAAUCCUUUGUCAUUGAGAGCUGCCUGAUCGCAGGGUCACACAGAAGGGUAUAAAGGCCGGACUUCAGGCAGCCAUGCGAGCAUGCUCACAGAGGCCGAGUCGUGUGGCAAGCCUCCUGGAGAAGUCUGCAGCCUUCCUGCUCCUAAGAAGGCUCCUGAAGUGGAGAAAUGAAGUCUGCAGUGAAGGAAGUCCUGCGACCCACGGAUCCGGCUCAUGAAGCUCGCAGGCUGCUCCCGGCUGGAGCUUCGGAAUAAAAUUUAGAAGGUAGAAUGAAAUCGGAUUGCUGUUUUCAAAGGAAAUGAGGUAGCUGCAAAAGGCAGUGGGGAGUGGGUAUAUAUGAGAUAGAUAAAUACUUGCUCAUUGCUUUUCAGAGAUUUUAAAAUUAGAUAUUGUAGAUUGUACAGUUUCUCUCUGUAUACACACACAAUACAUACAUAUAUGUACAUAUACACACAAAUCUAUAUGGAGGUGUUUUAAGCAAAAAAGCAAAAAAAAUCCACAACAUCCUUCAUAUAUACACAUACAGGAAAUAUAUUUUAAGCAAAAUACAUGAUUUGCACUUUGGGUAAGGAUUUGAAUGGGCCUCUUAGAAAUAUGAGGAAAUACUGUGAAUACAAGAAAGAAGGGAUGAAAACCUGAGUGCACCAACUCUAAAGGUAAAAAAAAAAAAAAAAUUGUAGACAGUUAAAAUGUCCGUCUCUGUACACACGCACACCUACACGUUCACACUUCCUCUGUUUACUAAAUAACAUUUCAGCACAGUUUUCAUCUUAUAAGGAAAGUGUUUGAAACUUGGAAUAAGUGCACUUAAUUAAAGGAAGGCUGUGAAAAUGUGCACUAAUCUGAU
rnacentral:lncRNA from 1 species